AACAUCGCUCUGAUAAACUUAUAAGAGUCCAGCCUGNCCAGUGACUCUGUUCAACGGCCGCGGUAUCCUAACCGUGCGAAGGUAGCGUAAUCACUUGUUCUUUAAAUGAGGACUAGUAUGAAUGGCAUCACGAAGGUUAUGCUGUCUCCUUUUUCUAAUCAGUGAAACUAAUCUUCCCGUGAAGAAGCGGGAAUAAUGAUAUAAGACGAGAAGACCCUAUGGAGCUUUAAACAAAUAUACAAUUGCCCACUUAAUUAAAAAUUUCAGAAGACAAGCACUUACUCAGGCACUUUGAUAUAAAGUUUUAGGUUGGGGUGACCGCGGAGCAAAAAACAACCUCCGCAGUGAAAGGGGAGAUCCCCCUAAACUAAGGGCUACUACCCUAAGUAUCAACAAACUGACACCAGUUGACCCAAUACACUUGAUCAACGAACCAAGUUACCCUAGGGAUAACAGCGCAAUCCACUUCAAGAGCUCCUAUCGACAAGUGGGUUUACGACCUCGAUGUUGGAUCAGGUAUCCUAGUGUGCAGCCGCUACUAACGGUUCGUUUGUUCACGAUUAAAACUCUACGUGA
rnacentral:rRNA from 1 species